rnacentral:tRNA from 1 species
ACGGCUGUGAUCUAGCGGUAUGAUACGACCCUCCCAAGGUCGUCACCCGGGUUCGAAUCCCGGCAGCCGUA